CUACUCCCCUUGCUUGUGUUUCCUCACUGUGUCUCUGUCAAAUGAAUACAUAAAAACUUAAAAAAUAAAAGAACCCAGCAAGCCACUGUCUGGAAAUCUAACCUCUUUUUAUCACCCAUUGGUUCAAUUUCCAACUUAAAUCAUUAGUUUAUGAUAGAACAAAAGCUAACUAGAUCAGCCUCUAGUGAUGGCUUUCAGCCCCCGCCCCCCUUUCUAGAAGGUAACAGAAUGGGAAUGGCGGGGAGGAAUAAAUACUGCUUUUCUGGAAGGGGUGUUGAUAUUUUAGGACAUACAGUGGCUAAACUUGUGAGCUCAUUAUGCCCCUUCUGGGAGAUGUUCACCUACUUUGAAUAGUUCUAAUGUAGGAGGGGAAAGAGAAGGAGACUAAAUAUUUUAGAGCAGUCUGAUUCAGCCAUUUGUAUUUCACGGGGGUUCUUUUCAAAAUAUGACCAAAAAACAAAAGGGGAAAGGGACCUUUAUCCAAGUUGUUUCUCUUUUAGACAAGUCACUUGAUACUUGACUCUUUCUUCAUCUUUAGGAAGUUAGAUCACAUCAGGUGUAAAUGACUUUCUUCUGUGCAAGGAUAAAAUUUGAGAACUAAGCAUCUGUGGGCCAUAUUUUAAAAUUCAAAGUGUAAAUAGCAUAUGGAGUUUUGUGAAAAAUGUUCUAUCCGGAAUCAAAGAACAUUACUGAGAAAAUUGACACUGAUUUUUAGCCAUUAAAAUAUUCAUAUUACCUGGACUUAAUUGCAAACUUGCAACUUUCUAGUCUAGAUCCUUAAUGCUGUGUAGUGCUUUUGCAUUCACAAAGUUCAAUCAUAUAGUAUUUUAGUUUCCAAAAAUCUAAUGAGGUAGGCUUUAUCAUUUCCAAAUUAGAGAAAUGGAAAACAGGCCCAGCCAGAUAAAACAAUAUGCCCACAAAUACGUGAGUUAGCAACAGAGCUCAGGCUAGAAUCUGUAAUUGCAUUCCAUGUAAAGUUUAUGGAGUACCUAUUGGUGCAAAGCACUAUUAGGAAAAGAAGACCCAUUUUUAUUUUAGCAAAGUCACGUUGGUAGCCAUAAGGAGAAAAGACAUGUAAGGACCGAUUCAGAAAGACUGGUUGCAGUAGUUCAGUAGAGCAGUAAGUAAUGAACUAAGGCAUUGGAGAGGAGACUGGGGUAUGAGGAACUGGUAGUCCUUAGUUGGAUGUAAUGGCCCUGGUUUUCUUUUAUUGCAAACUAUAUAUAUAUAUAUAGAUAUAUAUAUAUAUAUAUAUGCAUUUGUAUGUACAGUCCACAGAGGAGGACCUCUGCCUGUUCAUUCACUAGAACCAUGCCUGGCACAUAAAAGAUAUUCAGUAGAACUCCUGAUUGUUGAUGGUGAACUGAAUUUUUUCCAAUUGGUUUGGGAGUGAUCCUCCAGAGGCUUGUGUCUCCAGUUAUAUGGGCCAAUAAAUCUUGACAGUUUAAAUCA